rnacentral:rRNA from 1 species
AGAGUUUGAUCAUGGCUCAGAGCGAACGCUGGCGGCAGGCCUAACACAUGCAAGUCGAGCGGCCGUAGCAAUACGGCAGCGGCAGACGGGAUAGUAACACGUGGGAACGCGCCCUUCGGUUCGGAAUAACUCAGGGAAACUUGAGCUAAUACCGGAUACGCCCUUACGGGGAAAGAUUUAUUGCCGAAGGAACGGCCCGCGUCGGAUUAGCUAGUUGGUGAGGUAAUGGCUCACCAAGGCGACGAUCCGUAGCUGGUCUGAGAGGAUGACCAGCAUCACUGGGACUGAGACACGGCCCAGACUCCUACGGGAGGCAGCAGUGGGGAAUAUUGGACAAUGGGCGCAAGCCUGAUCCAGCCAUGCCGCGUGGAUGAUGAAGGCCCUAGGGUUGUAAAGUCCUUUUAACGGGGAAGAUAAUGACGGUACCCGUAGAAUAAGCCCCGGCUAACUUCGUGCCAGCAGCCGCGGUAAUACGAAGGGGGCUAGCGCUGCUCGGAAUUACUGGGCGUAAAGCGCACGUAUGCGGGUCAUUAAGUCGGGGGUGAAAUCCUGGAGCUCAACUCCAGAACUGCCUUCGAAACUGAUGAUCUUGAGUUCGGGAGAGGUGAGUGGAACUGCGAGUGUAGAGGUGAAAUUCGUAGAUAUUCGCAAGAACACCAGUGGCGAAAGGCGGCUCACUGGCCCGAUACUGACGCUGAGGUGCGAAAGCGUGGGGAGCAAACAAGGAUUAGAUACCCUGGUAGUCCACGCCGUAACGAUGAAUGCUAGCCGUUGGCGAGCUUGCUCGUCAGUGGCGCAGCUAACGCUUUAAGCAUUCCGCCUGGGGAGUACGGUCGCAAGAUUAAAACUCAAAGGAAUUGACGG